rnacentral:rRNA from 1 species
AGCGAACGCUGGCGGCAGGCCUAACACAUGCAAGUCGAACGGAUCCUUCGGGAUUAGUGGCGGACGGGUGAGUAACACGUGGGAACGUGCCCUCUGGUUCGGAACAACUCAGGGAAACUUGAGCUAAUACCGGAUGUGCCCUUCGGGGGAAAGAUUUAUCGCCAUUGGAGCGGCCCGCGUCUGAUUAGCUAGUUGGUGAGGUAACGGCCCACCAAGGCGACGAUCAGUAGCUGGUCUGAGAGGAUGAUCAGCCACACUGGGACUGAGACACGGCCCAGACUCCUACGGGAGGCAGCAGUGGGGAAUCUUGCGCAAUGGGCGAAAGCCUGACGCAGCCAUGCCGCGUGAAUGAUGAAGGUCUUAGGAUUGUAAAAUUCUUUCAGCGGGGACGAUAAUGACGGUACCCGCAGAAGAAGCUCCGGCUAACUUCGUG